UGGCGGACGGGUGAGUAAUGUCUGGGGAACUGCCCGAUGGAGGGGGAUAACUACUGGAAACGGUAGCUAAUACCGCAUAACGUCGCAAGACCAAAGAGGGGGACCUUGGGCCUCUUGCCAUCGGAUGUGCCCAGAUGGGAUUAGCUAGUAGGUGGGGUAACGGCUCACCUAGGCGACGAUCCCUAGCUGGUCUGAGAGGAUGACCAGCCACACUGGAACUGAGACACGGUCCAG
rnacentral:rRNA from 1 species